rnacentral:rRNA from 1 species
AAUGCAAGUCGAGCGCGGGAGCUCCUUCCUGAUCCCUUCGGGGUGAAGAGAGUGGAACGAGCGGCGGACGGGUGAGUAACACGUGGGCAACCUACCUGUAAGACUGGGAUAACUCGCGGAAACGUGAGCUAAUACCGGAUAAUACUUUUUAUUGCAUGAUAAGAAGUUUGAAAGGCGGCGUAAGCUGUCACUUACAGAUGGGCCCGCGGCGCAUUAGCUAGUUGGUGGGGUAAAGGCCUACCAAGGCAACGAUGCGUAGCCGACCUGAGAGGGUGAUCGGCCACACUGGGACUGAGACACGGCCCAGACUCCUACGGGAGGCAGCAGUAGGGAAUCUUCCGCAAUGGACGAAAGUCUGACGGAGCAACGCCGCGUGAGUGAAGAAGGUUUUCGGAUCGUAAAACUCUGUUGUUAGGGAAGAACAAGUUAGGUAGUAACUGACCUGACCUUGACGGUACCUAACCAGAAAGCCACGGCUAACUACGUGCCAGCAGCCGCGGUAAUACGUAGGUGGCAAGCGUUGUCCGGAUUUAUUGGGCGUAAAGCGCUCGCAGGCGGCCUUUUAAGUCUGAUGUGAAAGCCCACGGCUUAACCGUGGAGGGUCAUUGGAAACUGGAGGACUUGAGUGCAGAAGAGGAGAGUGGAAUUCCAUGUGUAGCGGUGAAAUGCGUAGAGAUAUGGAGGAACACCAGUGGGCGAAGGCGACUCUCUGGUCUGUAACUGACGCUGA